rnacentral:tRNA from 1 species
GGGGAUUUAGCUCAGUGGUAGAGCACUUGCCUAGUAAGCGCAAGGCCCUGGGUUCGAUCCUCAGCUCCG